GCCCUUCACUGGAAACCACAGAUCUCCUCCAGCAGCAGCUCCUGACUCUGCUGAUUUGCAUCAUGGGCUGUUCUCUUCAGCAAAGGUAUAAGAGAGGCCUGAGAGGAACCUGCCCAGCCUGGCCUCGGGAAGCAGCCUUGGCGGUGCCUCAGCCAUGGCCGGGACCCUUCUCCUCCUCGGCCUCCUUGCUCACUGCACAGGCUCUGCGGUCUCCUAUGAGCUGACUCAGCCACGCUCAGUGUCCGUGUCCCCAGGACAGACGGCCAGGAUCACCUGUGGGGGAGACAACAUUGGAAGUAAAAGUGUGCAGUGGUACCAGCAGAAGCCACCGCAGGCCCCUGUGCUGGUCAUCUAUGCUGAUAGCGAACGGCCCUCAGGGAUCCCUGAGCGAUUCUCUGGCUCCAACUCAGGGAACACCGCCACCCUGACCAUCAGCGGGGUCGAGGCCGGGGAUGAGGCUGACUAUUACUGUCAGGUGUGGGACAGUAGUAGUGAUCAUCCCACAGUGACACAGGCAGAUGGGGAAGUGAGACCAAAACACCCUCCCAGCCUCUGCCACCUUCUUGCUUCAGCCCCGGGAGGCCUGUGGAUAAAGCCAUGAGUGAAUCUGGCCCAGUUCACCUGGAUCUGAGCCUUUCAGGCGCCCUUCCCUCCAGCCCCCUCCAGGAGUCCCUACAGAGCGUACAUCAGGCAGAGACAUGGCCUGGAAGGACCAGAAUCAUCUGGUGACUUGGGGCUGUUGUGUGAGUUAGAGAAUGAAGGCCUGGGUAGAAACACAGACAGAGGCAACCUCUGUCCACUGUCCUGCUCCUGGAUGGUCAUAUGGUUGGACAGGGCAACUCCUGAGAUCAACGGUCUGGAUCAGGCCCCAGAACUGCUGCCCAGCCCUGCUGAGGUCCUGGCCCCAGGCUGUGUGGCAGCCUGUGAUUCCCAACAGAGCAAACCAGAGGAGGGGACACUGUGAAGUCUGCCCAGAUCCCCUCUUCCUUGUGACCCACCUGGCACUGCUGAGAAGCCCAGUAGCUUCUCAGAGGUUGUUUUCAAAAGAGAAAUAAUUCGCAACUGCACAUGACAUAGACUUGUUGCUAAAUCCCAUGGGUCUACAGUAGGAUUCUCCUCUGAAGCCUUGCCUUAAGCACAAGGUUUCAGUUCCUAUGUCCAGUUCCUCUAUUAUGGCGGAGUCUGCUAGUUUCUCAGUCCCAAUAGCAGGACACCGACACCCCUGCCUGCACCUGCAGCAGAGCCUUUCUGCUCUUGGCCCCAAAAUAACGAAUGAGGCAUUUCUCAGACCCAUGAUGUAUGAAGUGGCACAAUCUCGGCUCACUAAAACCU